rnacentral:rRNA from 1 species
UACGUAGGGGGCAAGCGUUGUCCGGAUUCAUUGGGCGUAAAGAGCGUGUAGGCGGCCAGGUAGGUCGGUUGUGAAAACUGGAGGCUCAACCUUCAGAGGUCGACCGAAACCAUCUGGCUAGAGUCCGGGAGAGGAGAGUGGAAUUCCUGGUGUAGCGGUGAAAUGCGCAGAUAUCAGGAAGAACACCCGUGGCGAAAGCGGCUCUCUGGAACGGUACUGACGCUGAGACGCGAAAGCGUGGGGAGCUAACAGG